UGGGGAAUCUUGCACAAUGGGGGAAACCCUGAUGCAGCGACGCCGCGUGAGCGAUGAAGGUUUUCGAAUCGUAAAGCUCUGUCCUAUGGGAAGAUAAUGACGGUACCAUAGGAGGAAGCCCCGGCUAACUACGUGCCAGCAGCCGCGGUAAUACGUAGGGGGCGAGCGUUGUCCGGAAUUACUGGGCGUAAAGGGUUCGCAGGCGGCAUGACAAGUCCGAUGUAAAAGGCGAAAGCUCAACUUACGUAAGCAUCGGAAACUGUCAAGCUUGAGUGAAGGAGAGGCAAGUGGAAUUCCUAGUGUAGCGGUGGAAUGCGUAGAUAUUAGGAGGAAUACCGGUGGCGAAGGCGACUUGCUGGACUUCAACUGACGCUGAGGAACGAAAGCGUGGGUAGCAAACAGG
rnacentral:rRNA from 1 species